ensembl:snoRNA
UGGAUCAAUGAUGAUGACUUGAGUCAUGAGUCGUGGAUGUGUGAUGACCGCUGGUCUGGAAGUCUGAGGUCCAA